GGGGCAAGUAGUGCCACCCCUGCUAUCUAGAAAACCAUAGAAGAAGUUGGUCAUGUGACCACAUAUUUUUGAAGAGGCGUCUAUUUCACUCAUCCUGCAGAGGGGAGACACAUGGCUUAAGAGUUUUAGACCAAAAUCCAUCAUGCCACGUGAAUACAAACGGAAGACAGAGAGGGUUACAACUCCUCCAGUAGCUCAGAAGAGAGUGACUGAAACCGGUCUGUUGUUUUUUAGAAAACACAGAUACAGGAGUUCACUGCAGCCUGAGAGCUGAAUGUGCUUCAUGGAGAAGAUUAAAAUCUGGGCUUGGAGCCGAACAGUCUUCUCCUGGGAUACUUCACUCAUUUCCUCAACACAAGGAAGUCACAAAUAAAACACACUCUUCCUCCUGUACACAACCCUUGGGUCCCACAGGUUUAUACCAGUGAAUACCUGGGGAGGAGGAAACACACACACACACACACACAUGACACAUGCUUUACUUUCUUGUAAUAUAAAUGUGUGAUAUAUUUAACAGUUUGUCAGAGCAUUCAAACAUAUUUCACAGUCUUCAUUCAGCAAACUGAUCCUGCUCAGGUGUCAUUACAAAAUGCUCUCUGGUGUCAGACUUGGCGGCAAGCAUAUGUGGUCCGGUCUUACAGAGUGGCUCAACAUCAGUUCUGAUGUCUGGCCCCCCAAGCAGAGGUUACAGAUGUGAUCUGGGAUUUUCAUGAAUACUUAGAAGACACUCUCUAGUAGGUAACUCUGCUGUACUGAUGUUUACAACUU